rnacentral:rRNA from 1 species
UACGUAGGGGGCAAGCGUUGUCCGGAUUUAUUGGGCGUAAAGAGCGUGUAGGCGGCCAGACAAGUCUGCUGUGAAAACUCGAGGCUCAACCUCGAGCUGUCGGUGGAAACUGUCUGGCUAGAGUCCGGAAGGAGGAGAAUGGAAUUCCCGGUGUAGCGGUGAAAUGCGCAGAUAUCGGGAAGAACACCCGUGGCGAAGGCGGUUCACUGGGAC